UUCCCUGGAGAAAUAUCUGUCUUAUGUAAAGUCAUUUGCUGGGUUUCUCACUGCUUUUUGGUAGCAAUGAAAAUCUCUGCAUUCAGGCACUCUGCUCUUCUCAUCUUCUAUCAUUGCCUCAAGGGUAGAUUCUUUGUAAUUCAGAGUUUUGCUUGUAUUAUUUUUUUCUUCUUAGUCCCUUCCUUAUCCCUUCCUCUGCAGCUCGAGUUUGGCUGGUGGUUUUCCCAUGUGUUUUUUCUUUUUUUUUUUUUUUUUUUUUUUUCUCCUGAGAGGUGAGUUAUGAUAAACCCUGCACAAAGUGUGAGGGACCAGAUGGGUGUAUUGGUGAGACACUGGUCACUGAUACGGCAUUAGUGAAAGCCCUGUGCUAGCAAGGAGCUGAGCUCUGAGGUUUGGUUGUGGAUGUGACAUCCUAGCAACACUGCUUUUUUUUUUUUGUAUGGGAGAUUUUGAAUUGAAAUGUGUGUCUGUGGGGGGUGUGUGACUGUGGGUCUGGGAUAAGAACCCUCCCUCCACCCACCCCCCUUCCUUCCACAAAUGUAGUUCUAAAUUACACCCAUCAUUUUAUUUCCCUGUUCCAGUGAUGCAGUUUGGUUCUUGCUCUAAAAUGGCCGGGAGGAUUGACUCCAGACUGUUUGGAGCAGGCAUCAGACUGUGCGGGGUUGGACCCCCUAAGAGACCAGGUAGGAUCCUCUUGAAGGUGUUCAAAGCAGGAUACUGGAUGUGAGUUUGAAGGGUUUCUGGGUGCUGUGCCCAGAGAAAGCUGCCCUCUCCUCCCACAGAGCAGGGAUCAGCUCUGUCUGUAUCCUCUCUGCCAUUCAUCACCUUCCUUCUGCCCCCAUCCAGGCUGUUGUCUUCAAGUGAUCCUGUGCUAGAGGUUCACGCAGGCUCCUGCAUGUCUUGGCCCUGCAUCCAUUUGGCAGAAAGCUGAGAGAUAUUUGGGAAAGGUUUUUUUGUUGUUGUUUGUUUGUGUGUGUGUGUUUUUUUUUUUUUUUUUUUCAAAGCUUCAACAAGAAGCUUCACUAUUCAUUCAUUCCCCAAAUAGCUUUCCCUCUCAUUGGACUUCUUCUUCCUGCUAGGACAGUCCAAGCCUGUUCUGACAGGCAGCUUAUCUGCCUCGCAGCUCUGACUGCUGCCUCUGUCUCUCCUUUGUGUGGGAGGUGUUUUGUCUUUCCAAACUUCUGCUGACUUCAGUGGUCGCUAGCUUGUGCCCAAACAUGCACUGAUAGCGCAGUUCAGUGCUGAAAUUUGCCACUGGCUUUUAUUUAUGUCCCUGCAGCAUGUUUUCCUUCGCAAAGGGAAGGACUUAAGUGUUUUGGGGAGGGGCCAGAGGGUUGUUAUUGAAAGUUAGCAAAGCAGCAGUUCUCCACUGACCCUGUCUGCCUCUGACUACUGAGUCCUGCAGCACAACAUGGUGUUGAGGGAUGCCGGGCUAAUGAGGGUCCAAGUAAGGGGCUGAACUGCACAAAAACUGCCUGAAAAUGCAGAAAGCAACCAGUUAGUUCCUUUCCUGUGUUGCCAGCUGCUGAGGCUGGUCCAGAGAAAUUCCCUGUCUAGUUUUAAAUCCCGUAGAAGUGGAGAGAAGUGCAUGUGUGCCCAUGUAGAUUUACAAAUCUCAUUUUUUUUUUAAUAUAAAACAAAUCUGGUCCUGUUUGAAGCUGCUGUCUGCCGGUGUGCACUGCCUGAUACAGAAUCAGUGCUGCAGUUCUCAGGCAAUAUGAUGGGAAGCAACAGCAGCCAGGAAAGCCCCAUCUAUUUGCCCCUGCAUGCUUCUCCUAGAGCAGCAGUUUCAGUCCAGUGCCUGCAGCCUCAUCCCCUAGACCAGACUUGCUGGGCCCGUCUCAGACGAAGGGAGAGGACGGACCCUCUCAGCAGAGACGUGUCUGUCUUGUGGAGAGCACUCCGUGAUCGUACAUAGUGUGUGAGGAAAGCUCUUGGUGCUGCUGCCAGCCUUCGGCUAACAAGGUCAGUCACCACCCUGAGCCUGAUUAAAAGUCUCAGUGAUUUAAACUGGGAACGCUGAGGCCUGGUGAUGGGCUGGGGUGUGGCUGCCUUACCUCAAAAGUGGUGGUGGGCCACCAAGAGAUGAAGGUGCACACAGGAACAUUUUCCCUGCCUUAGUGUCAAAAAUCAAGCUCUGAACUCUGGCAGUCUGGAAUAAUUCCCAGAUGUUGCUCUCCUGAAAUAACUAUGGACGAAACUAGAUGAUGGUUAGUUGUCUUGAACGACCAAAGAUUCUUUAAGCCUGUUCCUUUGUGGAGGUGCCUUUGGUUUUGCUUUGGGAGGUCUUCACUUUUCUUCCUGAAGGCUGAGAUGCUUUCUGUUGGCCGUGCAAUGCCAUUAAACGUCCAAUGCAACUCUGCGUGAGGCAUGGAGAUAUUUGUAGGUCAGGGAUGACAGAUACUUGCAGGACUCAUAGGUGCUAUUAUUUAAUUGCAUUCCAACAGCAGCGAAAGCAGUAGCAAGAGUAAUAAACAAAUUAUAAUCUACAUUAUGAAGCUGACAAAUACCACCCACUCAUUACUUGUCUUUAACCACUCUCAUUACUACCCAGUCUUUGUGGGAACUGAUCUUGCUUCUCAGUGUCCCACUUGUUCACUUUAAUAUCAUUAUCUGAAGCAAUCGGCCGCUCCUUGUGAAAGAAGAGGAAGGUACUUUUCCUGGGGCUUGUUUUCUGGGUGCUGAAAUCUGGGUAGCUCUGGGGUGGAGGAGUGUGAAGGACGCUUCACAAAAGUGUGAUGAGACUGGGAAGUGAAGGCUGAACUCCACAGGGACGACGGAGGGGGUUGUGGGUGGCAGGAUGGCAAAUUGUCUUUGGGGGAAAAAGGCUGCGCUCUGCUCACCUUUGUUGUAUUGAGGACUAGAGUCUUCAGUCUUGGUGGUGCCUGGCUGCUGCCUUCAUGUUGUAUCAGGCUGUACUUAAAUGCUAUGACGACGCUGUGCCUGGGGUGCAGCUCUGCUUCCCUCUGAGGCAAGGUGCCCACGGCUGGGACCCUUCUUGAGGGAUGUUGUUGAGGCCAGUGAGCUGAGGAGUUGAGUGGGAGAGCAGGUAGGAAAAUUCUCCAUGGGUGGCAGGACCCUGGGGAGCUGGAGGUCCUGUUGUGCUCUCGGGGUUUUGAGAUAUCUCAUGGCGGUCUCUAAUGGGUAAAUAAUAAGCUGAAAGAUGGGAAAUGAAGAUCGAAAGGUGAAGGGCCAGCUUUCCCGAUAGGGAAUUGACAUUAGUCAACUGUGACAAGGGGCUGUCAAAGGUCGGAGCUGCUGAAUGGGUCUGUUAAUGAUAAAUAGGAGUAAAUGGCAGAUGAAGUCUGCUGCUCGCUAUUCAGAGCAGCAAAAAACAAAAGCUAUGGUGAAUAGCUGUAGAAAGUCCUUGUAAUUGAGAGUAGUGGGGUUGUGCAAUAAGAUGCUGAGAAAAGCAAAGCAAUCCAGGAGGGAGAGGGAGCCGUUGUAAUCAGUAAUUCAUCGUAAUUCAGUGCAGGGGGCUCAAAACAGGACGGUGUCACGUGGGUGACAGAUCGCAGAAGUUCAAUGAACUGGGCUAGAGGAACAAGGCUUGGUGCUGUGUUUGUGUUUUUGUUUGAAAAACAAAACAACUAAAAAUCAGCUCCCAGGAAAAAAAAGAUCACAAACAGUUCAAAUGCACUGAGUAGAUCUGUGGUGAACAAAGUUUAUGCAGGUUUGGGGGAAACUGGAGCAACUAAUGCAAGAAAAAUCCAUUGAGGGCUGUUAAAUACCACUACACAGUCUCUGGUUGAGAAGGUCCUGGAGCUGCAAAUAGCUGGAUCCUGGGAAAGCAUUUGUAAUGGAACAUGGCUAUGCUCUCACCCUGUUCUUACAUCCUUCCUUAGAUGCUGCUGUUGGAGAUGAGGCACGAUGUAGCUCGAUCCAGCUAGGCUUAGUGGCUCUGGUUCCUCUGCUCUUCCAUGGAGAUACUGCCCUGUAAUAACCUACACCUAACCCACUGUGACUGUGUGUGUGUGUGAGGAGGUUUUAUGGGGGCUGGCAAUGCUGUUCCUCCUCUUCUUCUGCCUCUUCUGUUCGGAGAAGAAAGAUGAAGUGCAUGGCUGGAGGAGAAAAACUGCUGAGGAUAUUGUACAUCUGUUCUCAAAGGGAUACUGCAGCAGGUGGGCAAUGUCCUGUAGCAUACCCAAAGCAGGGAGAGGGGCUUUCCUUCAGCAGACACACUGAGCAUCUUGUUCUUUAUCAGCGUCAGCUGCUGAAAUGAACAGUUUAGGUGAUGGAAAGCCAUCUCUCUCGUCACUAAACCUGCCUCUCGUCUCCUCUGAGUAAUGCUGGGGCAAGGCACCGGUUCCCAGAGCACUUGAUUUGUUUGAUCUGCCCUCUCCCGUCACACAGCCUGUUAAAAUGAAGAGGUGCCUUCUGUCUUGUCCAAAUCGUGGUGCCCUGCACAGAGCCUACGGUGUGAGUGACUGCAGUGCAACAAGGCAUGGACACGGGUUGCUCAUCCCCACCCUGAAGGCGGUGUUGCAAGAUGCUGGAAAAUGCCGUCAUCUCCUUGUGGGUUUGGACUCAUUUGGCUUUUUACUACCUAUCCUGCUCACAGGUGCUUGGUUGUGGUGCUGUUUUAUGUGUUGCCCAGCUCUGGGCUGAUCACUUCGUCUUCCUUCAGAAGCUUUACAGGCUUUGUCUUAGGCCAAGGUUGGGAAGCGAAGGUGAUGCACGAACCCCCUGCUGCUGCUUAGGUUUCUGUCCCUUCUAGAUGGUCCAACGUGGGCAGGAGAUCUCACCAGCCCUGUCCCAAGAAGAACGAUGCAGCAGUUCCCCCAUUCUAGGUGUGUAUUAGGACGAAACCUUUCAGCCCAUCCAUGUUUUAGUUUCCCACUUCUGUUUCUGGCCCUCCCAAGAUGGUUGAUUUUUUGCUGAAGGUCAGCACAAGAGUCAUGCCAUGUGGACUUCCACUGCUUACCUAAAUGGUUUUCUUUUCUGUCUUCCUGACACUUCAGCAGGUUAUCUCUACUUUAUGAUAAACAAUACACCUAUGUUAUAAACACUGUACAGUUUGGUUCUAGCUGCUUUCUUUUUUUUUUUUUUUUUUCUUUUUCUUUUCUCUUUUCUUUUUUUCCUCUUUUCAAUGGCUGUGUUUAAGAUGAACUCUGGCAGCAAGCAAGGCUGUCUCAAAGGACGUGUGCCAUGGUGUGGAUGCAUCAGAUCCUCCUUUGUGCUAAGCGCACAUUGAUAAAGGCUCGCUGAGUAGCGCCUACGGGUGGUUGAUGCAGCUGGAUGGUGCACACAGUGCUUGUAAUUGCUUCUGCUGUCUUCUGGGAUGUGCUUCCAGCAAGUCAGGACACCUGGCAGCAGACACCCUGCAGUUGAGGAGCUGUCAGUCUGAAGGGGACAGCAGUCUUGUAAAGCCCUGGUGGCACUGGGCUUUGUGCCACUGGAGCAAGAACUAGGCUUCCUGCGGAGAGAAGAUGGCUUGGAGGACACCUGCUUUGUAUGAACUGCUGAGAGCUGGGAGUCCCCGUGCUGCCAGCUGGCUGUGUGGAGCCCAGCCAGGCAGGAGAGGGAGGGAAGGGGCCAUCCUUUGUGGGCUGUGAGCACCCCUGGGCUGAGCCACCACCAGGAAGCUGGAGAAGAACCAAACAGAGCUUCGAACCAGCCAGCUCUCCCCAGAACCUGGUGGGCCCAGCUGCCUUCUCCAAGCUGCUGGAGUCCUGGUCUGCAGCCAUCCAUCCCCACCUGGGAAGGUGUCCCCUGGAGAAGGGCUUGUGUCCUGCUCUGUGGGAAGACCUGAAGAAAGAAGCUGCUGGCAGUCAUCCCGGAGGGGAUGCAGAGCACACAGGAGGAUCUCAGGGUGGAGUUCCAGGACACAGGACAGCCCAACUCCCAGCUCCAGCUCUGGUUUGGACACUGUACACGCUCCCCUGACAUCUCUGGAAUGAAAGAACGAUGGGACUCACUUCAGGACAUCACCCAAACCGUCUUGGUGUGUUGGCUGUGAGUGGCUGGCAUCUUUUUCCCAGCUCACCAUCUCAGGAAAGCCCACAAGAUUGGGAAAAUGAACCCAAGUUCUGGCUGGAGUGAAUCCCUUCCCUGUAGGACACAUAUGCUCAAGGAGGGGCAGCUGGCAAAAUCUCCCCUAUCCUCUCCACUUGGAACAGAAAGUGCGUUUGAACAGGGUUUCAAAGAAAGACCCUGCUGGAGGUUCAUCACACACUUUCCACAGGACCAAGCUUAGGCAAGGCAGUUUAGCAGCAAAUCAGCUAUUUGGAGAUCCUGGGCAAAACAAAAUGCAUCAGCUGCUGCUCUCCAGAGAGUGAAAACUCCAGAUAUUUCUUCUGAAGGUGCCUGGGAAUUACCAGCAGAUCUCUUCCCUUCCAGUGCCAGCGGUGAUGGCUGGCUGCUUGUUACUGCCCUGAUGUUAUUUCUGUGUCCCCACAGCCUGGGUGGACGUGUGUAUUUCUAGUUGUUCUUUUCUCGUGUUCUCCUUUCUGAACUUCCCUUUAGACUGCUGACAAAAUGUCUUGGUUAACGUUGGUCACCUGGUGGCAGCGAGGUUGGGGACUGGAGCUGCUGUGCUCUGUUCCCAGGGCUGGACAAGCUCUGGGAGUUUGGGGUCAGUGGUGCUCCCCUGCUCUGUUAGCAGAAGUUACCCUUUUGCUGCCUGCAGCCACCUUCCCGAGGGGAAACGUGGGCUCUGCCUUGCUGAGGUGCUGCAGGGCGGCCAAACAUCCUCAGCAGAUAGAGAUCGUGUAGUUCAGGUGGACCACUAAACUUUUAGGCAGCAAUUAGGACUUAGGCAGUAACUCUGAGUCAACUAAUAAAUACAUCUGGGUGGUGCCUGGCUGUACUUUCCGAUGGCAGAUCCUUCCUAUGUAGGCCUGAUGUUUCUGCCUGCUCUGCUUGGAAACCUGAUCAAAAGCCUGUGGUGAUGGUAAAGGGAGAUGCCCCGCUGAAUUCCAUGGGUUUUCUUUGCUCCUCUAAGCUUGUAGACAAUCCCAGGUGGUUUCUUUGAUGCCCUUCUUCCCAAGUGGAUGAAGUAAUUAUGACUCCUGUGCAGCAGGCUAAUAGUUCUGAAGACUUUAGUCAGGCUGAUUAACAACUGUGCUUUAAUAAAAAAAAAAUGUUCUGGUAAAUCCGUCUGAA